rnacentral:rRNA from 1 species
ACGGGAGGCAGCAGUGGGGAAUUUUGCGCAAUGGGGGGAACCCUGACGCAGCAACGCCGCGUGCGGGAUGGAGGCCUUCGGGCUGUAAACCGCUUUCAGCAGGGAAGACAACGACGGUACCUGCAGAAGAAGCUCCGGCUAACUACGUGCCGGCAGCCGCGGUAAUACGUAGGGGGCGAGCGUUAUCCGGAUUCAUUGGGCGUAAAGCGCGCGUAGGAGGCUGCCUAAGCGGAGUUUCUAACCUUGGGGCUCAACCUCAAGCCGGACUGCGAACUGGGCGGCUCGAGUGCGGUAGGGGCAGGCGGAAUUCCACGUGUAGCGGUGAAAUGCGCAGAUAUGUGGAGGAACACCGAUGGCGAAGGCAGCCUGCUGGGCCGUCACUGACGCUGAGGCGCGAAGGUGUGGGGAGCAAACAGGAUUAGAUACCCUGGUA